GGAAAGGCCUUGACUUUUCGGUAUAAAGCUGGUUUUAUAGAGCGCAACUAUUUCGGAUGUUUUACACGAAGUGGAUUGGUUUGAAUUCGACAAUGGCCUGAAGAAAGAUCUGCUUUUUUUCUUGGUGCGCAGCAGGAAGUCCAUGUAUAUUCGUGCAGGAAACGUUAUAAUGGCCAAUGAGCUCAUUAUUCAGCAUCGACGGCAACUGAACGACACCCUUCUACCCAGAUUCUCUAGAUGAUUAGCAAUAAAGCAUCCAACAGGACAAAGCGUCGGUUUUCUAACCAA